rnacentral:rRNA from 1 species
CCUACGGGAGGCUGCAGUGAGGAAUAUUGGUCAAUGGGCGAGAGCCUGAACCAGCCAAGUCGCGUGAGGGACGACGGUCCUAUGGAUUGUAAACCUCUUUUGUCGGGGAACAAAGGCGCCCACGGGUGGGCGGAUGAGUGUACCCGAAGAAAAAGCAUCGGCUAACUCCGUACCAGCCGCCGCGGUAAUACGGAGGCUGCAAGCGUUAUCCGGAUUUGUUGGGUUUAAAGGGUGCGUAGGCGGACAGUCAAGUCAGCGGUAAAAAUGCGGUGCUCAACGGCGUACAGCCGUUGAAACUGGCAGUCUUGAGUGGGCGAGAAGUAUGCGGAAUGCGUGGUGUAGCGGUGAAAUGCAUAGAUAUCACGCAGAACUCCGAUGGCGAAGGCAGCAUACCGGCGCCCUACUGACGCUGAGGCACGAAAGCGUGGGUAGCGAACAGGAUUAGAUACCCUAGUAGUC